rnacentral:rRNA from 1 species
AUUGAACGCUGGCGGCAGGCCUAACACAUGCAAGUCGAACGGUAACAGGAAGCAGCUUGCUGCUUCGCUGACGAGUGGCGGACGGGUGAGUAAUGUCUGGGAAACUGCCUGAUGGAGGGGGAUAACUACUGGAAACGGUAGCUAAUACCGCAUAACGUCGCAAGACCAAAGAGGGGGACCUUCGGGCCUCUUGCCAUCGGAUGUGCCCAGAUGGGAUUAGCUAGUAGGUGGGGUAACGGCUCACCUAGGCGACGAUCCCUAGCUGGUCUGAGCGGAUGACCAGCCACCAUGGAACUGAGACACGGUCCAGACUCCUACGGGAGGCAGCAGUGGGGAAUAUUGCACAAUGGGCGCAAGCCUGAUGCAGCCAUGCCGCGUGUAUGAAGAAGGCCUUCGGGUUGUAAAGUACUUUCAGCGGGGAGGAAGGCGAUAAGGUUAAUAACCUUGUCGAUUGACGUUACCCGCAGAAGAAGCACCGGCUAACUCCGUGCCAGCCGCCGCCGUAA